CAGCAGCCGCGGGAACACGUAGGUGGCAGGCUUUGUCCGGAAUUAUUGGGCGUAAAGCGCGCGCAGGUGGUUUAAUAAGUCUGAUGUGAAAGCCCACGGCUCAACCGUGGAGGGUCAUUGGAAACUGUUAAACUUGAGUGCAGGAGAGAAAAGUGGAAUUCCUAGUGUAGCGGUGAAAUGCGUAGAGAUUAGGAGGAACACCAGUGGCGAAGGCGGCUUUUUGGCCUGUAACUGACACUGAGGCGCGAAAGCGUGGGGAGCAAACAGGAUUAGAGACCCCCGUAGUCCCUGUCUCUUAUAA
rnacentral:rRNA from 1 species